rnacentral:ribozyme from 14 species
UCAUGCACAUGAAAAAACAAAACAAAAGAAAAGACAGAAAAACGAUGAAGUUCACAAAGAGUAGCAUAUAUUUGUUCUUGGCAUUGUUAUUAUUGUUGUUUUCAUUAUCUGUCUU